AUAAAAAAGUUUCAUUUAAACAGAGUCCGGGGGAAAGAAGUCGCGGGUAAAAACCAGUAUAUUCGUAUUCUAGAAAAUAGAUUUAAAGCCGGCUGAUGAUGGAGGAUUGAGUACCUCAUCGACCUUAUCUAGAACGGUUUUCAGCAUUUUACUCACUUCAGUGGAAGAUCAGACGAUUGAAACGAGUCUGACAGUCGAAACAAGCGAGAUUGAACGGACCAUUAUAGAAAAAAAUGAAGAAAAAACAAUAUUCUGGCAUAAUAGUGGAUGAUUAUUCCACAACAGAACCAAAGACCAUUU